ACUGAUGGUUUUAUUAUUUAAUUAUUCUGAGGGGAAAAAAUGAAUGAAUGAAUCCACACACUUAAUAUCUAUUCAUUCAUUCAGAAGUGUGUAAACAGUUAUAAUCAUUCAAUUUUGACAGAUCUACUCAAAAGUGAAGAGAGACUGUGCAAUCUCCAAUGUGCUCUUCUCCAAAUGAGCAAUCUUAGGAUUAAGACCACUUUGCCUAUGUGCCUAGUAUUGACCACAAAUAACUGUUUCAAAAUGGUCAUCUAUUAAUUUUGCUUGGGAACUGAUUUUUCUUACGGCCAUUUUACAGUUAUGUUGGUAUUAUCACAUUUUUAUUUCUACUUCUAUUAAAAGUUUAACUUUACACUUGGCUUGGCAACACAAAGAAACAACUAGCUUGAUUUCUUUAUAAUCUGGCUGCCUAAAUCCACUAGUAAAAAUCAGAUCUUUCCCAAAUAUUUUGUGCAUAAGGAGGAUACAUUAUUCCUUAAAGACUAUUUUCUAUUAGUGCAUUCUUUUCUUUAGUGUGCAAAAAGACUCUUCAAAAUAUGUAGAGCACUUUUCUUAAGGUGUCAGGUUUUUUCCUCUUUUCCAAUACAGCUUUUCCAGUCUUCCAGGUCCACCACGGGGAGCAUCAGCCACAGAAAUUAGGGCCUGGAUUCCUUCCAGUCAGCACAACAUUCCUGGACUGCUUCUCUUCAACUACAGCAAGUACAGGUUUCACUGGUCAGAUUCACAUUAAGAUUAUGCAGACAAAAACACUGGGAAAAUUAACUUACCGAUCUCCUUUCCAAACGUAACAUACCUCAAAGGAACAUAUAAACUUUUUCAUUUAAUAACGUACAUAAAAGCCUUCGUUAAAAUGUCAGUAAUAACUUUUAUUUACAAAGUAAUUGUCCUAUCACAUUACAUUUGGGGUUACAUGUAUCACUGUUGUAUGCUGGUAGCAUGGCUAUUUGAAAGAUUAUAAUUUAUGAGCUAUUACUCAGUGGGAUUUUUGCAAUAAGGUACUUCAUGAGACAAAAUGGAAAAAGGAGAAUUAAAUUAAAAUGCACAACUAAUAUGUAUCUACUACAGAAAUAAUACUUCUCAGUUGCGAACUAAUCACUAGUUCACAACUAGCAUCCUCAUAAAUAUUUUGGUUCUAUCGGGAUACAAAAUGUGAUUUUGCAAACUUUGAAAAGGCACAUUUUGUGACACCACCUAAGCAUUUCCCUGAGAACAUAAAGAAGGUUAUUAACAUGAUGAACCAUUUCAGCCUUGAAAACAGUAUUCAUGGAGGAGAUACCUCAGAGGUAAGGACUUCCUCAGGACCGUAAGAAAAAUCUAUGGGUUCUUAAAUGGAAGAAAAGAAACAACUAUGAAAAGCAAGACCAGCUCAGAACUCCUCCUGAGGAAGAGAUGAGAUACGAUAGGAUUGUCCCUGUCCCAAAAUAUUGCUAUCCUUCCAUAAGCUGCUGGAAUGUUUCUUCAUUCCGUUCUCCCAUUCUCUGUGAACAAGAAUCAGUGGGUUAUGAGGCAUUCUCUAAAAAUGCAGGUGCGGCAGUCAUGGGAAUGGCAGUCGGCCCAAUGCAGGUGUCAGGAGUUUCAGAUGUGGAGAAGAAAAUCACAAGGCAUUCAUUGUUUCUGUGAUGAAGUGUGAUCUGCUUUCUUCUCAGCACCACAUGACAUCAGACUUAGAGAACUAAUGAGAGAAGAAGGGUGGGUGACUCUGGAAUAUGAAGAACCUCAGGAGGGAAGAUGGAGGCCAAUGGGAAGGCUCUCAGUUGGCAGAGGUGAGCAAAAUUCCCAGGAGUGCACCUGGAUCUCAAGGGCAUUAGGAGGUGAAAAUGAGUGGAAAAAUUAAAAGGAGAAAGACCUUGUUCUUAGGAAAAGGGGUGGAAAGUUGCACUGUCCUUCCUCCGAACUGCUCACACUACCCUGUCUCACAGACCCAAAACUCAGGCAGGCACCUUCAGUAUCACAGGUCAGGUACAUUAGAGUUGAAUCUGUUGAGGGAGGCUUGGCCUGGAAACUCAAUCACCAAUUCAUGGUAUUGUUUCUGUGGAAAAGUGUCUCAAAGUCUGCUUGUAAGCCACUUGUUUAAAACAUGAUAAAGAAUCCCUUCAUAAGAUUGUUUACUUGUGGACAAUUUUAGAAGUGCAAUCUCAGUUUUAGACUACAGUCACUAUGCUCUGAAUCUCCAAAUACAUUGUACAAUUUAUAAAAAAAAAAAAAAAAAAAAAUCUUGGCCAGGCGCAGUGGCUCACGCCUGUAAUCCCAGCACUUUGGGAGGCUGAGGUGGGCGGAUCACAAGGUCAGGAGAUCAAGACCAGCCUGGCUAACACGGUGAAACCACUUCUCUACUAAAAACACACACAAAAAAUUAGCCAGGCAUGUUGGUGGGCACCUGUGGUCCCAGCUACUUGGGAGGCUGAGGCAGGAGAAUGGCAUGAACCCAGAAGGCGGAGCUUGCAGUGAGCCGAGAUGUGCCACUGCACUCCAGCCUGGGCGACAGAGCAAGAUUCUGUCUCAAAAAAAAAAAAAAAA
rnacentral:lncRNA from 1 species